CGGCGCUGCACGCAGCAAGGUGUCCCGCCGGGAGUUCCGUUCCCGCGGGAUGAAACGGGAAACAGGUGCGCGGCGAGGGUUUCUUCGGCGCCGCUAUCCCUGUACUGCCCCCGCAACGGUAAGCGAGGCGGCGCACACCCCGGCCACUGCGAAGCGUUUUGGCUUCGCGGGAAGGCCGUGCGCCAGGCGGACGCAAUCCGCCACUCGCGAGUCCGGAGACCGGCCUUGCCGCGCUUCCUUCA
rnacentral:ncRNA from 2 species